rnacentral:rRNA from 1 species
AUUGAACGCUGGCGGCAUGCCUUGCACAUGCAAGUCGAACGGUAACAGGUCUUCGGAUGCUGACGAGUGGCGAACGGGUGAGUAAUACAUCGGAACGUGCCUAGUAGUGGGGGAUAACUACUCGAAAGAGUGGCUAAUACCGCAUGAGAUCUACGGAUGAAAGCAGGGGAUCGCAAGACCUUGUGCUACUAGAGCGGCCGAUGGCAGAUUAGGUAGUUGGUGGGAUAAAAGCUUACCAAGCCGACGAUCUGUAGCUGGUCUGAGAGGACGAUCAGCCACACUGGGACUGAGACACGGCCCAGACUCCUACGGGAGGCAGCAGUGGGGAAUUUUGGACAAUGGGCGCAGGCCUGAUCCAGCAAUGCCGCGUGCAGGAUGAAGGCCUUCGGGUUGUAAACUGCUUUUGUACGGAACGAAAAGCCCUGGAUUAAUACCCUGGGGUCAUGACGGUACCGUAAGAAUAAGCACCGGCUAACUACGUGCCAGCCGCCGCCGUAACAC